AGGGAUGAUGGGAAGCCUGUUCUUGUUUAUCGGUUUGUACGGAACUUCACCCGCGGUAGAGUACGGCCUGAGAAUUUUGUUCCAGCACCGGUGUGAGGAAAACAUCUGAGCCCAUGAAUUGCCAGACCCUGGAUACCUGAGACACAUCCACUUGCUUCUCAGGUUUGGAGUGCAUAAUGAGGAGAAAUAAAAACAGAAAGAUCUCCAGAAAGAAGCCAUGGGUGGAGAACAGAGGGCGACUAGAUUAAAUGGAAAGAAUGCCCAGGCAUCCCAUUGCCUCCCUUUGACGUUCCAGAACUUCAUCAAGACAGUGAUGAGCUACAUGUACACCUGGAGGAGGACCAUGCAGAAUACCAUCCAGCGCCAUGAACACUAGUCAGUCAGUCAGUAAUGGUGGGCUUCUUGGUGUGCUCCAGCUCAAUUUUCUCAUGUUUGAUGAUUAGUUCAGGAUCAAGCUCAGAAGCGCACAGCUGCCAGCAAGCAGUCUACUACUGAACUGCACCAUCUCUCCAGCCUGUGCUUACUCUUGAAUAGCCCCAAAGUAGUCAAUGGUAUGGCAAAAUAAACCUCCAUUUCAUUUAGAUUUUUAUAGUAUUUUUUGCCACUUAAAUUAUUUUAUGUAGUUGAGUAUGAUUUUUUUUCCCCCUAAGGAAUUCUAUGUAUCUCAAUUUCAAGAGUCUUCAGCCUUUAUGUUAUACAUAAUUUCCUAUAGAUUUCAAAGUUGCUUUAAUAAAAAGUUUAAUGUUAAAACA
rnacentral:lncRNA from 1 species